rnacentral:rRNA from 1 species
AGUGAACGCUGGCGGUAGGCCUAACACAUGCCAGUCGAACGGCAGCACAGUAAGAGCUUGCUCUUACGGGUGGCGAGUGGCGGACGGGUGAGGAAUACAUCGGAAUCUACUUUUUCGUGGGGGAUAACGUAGGGAAACUUACGCUAAUACCGCAUACGACCUACGGGUGAAAGCAGGGGAUCUUCGGACCUUGCGCGAUUGAAUGAGCCGAUGUCGGAUUAGCUAGUUGGCGGGGUAAAGGCCCACCAAGGCGACGAUCCGUAGCUGGUCUGAGAGGAUGAUCAGCCACACUGGAACUGAGACACGGUCCAGACUCCUACGGGAGGCAGCAGUGGGGAAUAUUGGACAAGGGGCGCAAGCCUGAUCCAGCCAUACCGCGUGGGUGAAGAAGGCCUUCGGGUUGGAAAGCCCUUUUGUUGGGAAAGAAAAGCAGCAGGUUAAUACCCCGCUGUUCUGACGGUACCCAAAGAAUAAGCACCGGCUAACUUCG